GAAGUAAAAGUCGUAACAAGGUCUCCGUUGGUGAACCAGCGGAGGGAUCAUUACUGAGUUUACGCUCUACAACCCUUUGUGAACAUACCUACAACUGUUGCUUCGGCGGGUAGGGUCUCCGCGACCCUCCCGGCCUCCCGCCUCCGGGCGGGUCGGCGCCCGCCGGAGGAUAACCAAACUCUGAUUUAACGACGUUUCUUCUGAGUGGUACAAGCAAAUAAUCAAAACUUUUAACAACGGAUCUCUUGGUUCUGGCAUCGAUGAAGAACGCAGCGAAAUGCGAUAAGUAAUGUGAAUUGCAGAAUUCAGUGAAUCAUCGAAUCUUUGAACGCACAUUGCGCCCGCCAGCAUUCUGGCGGGCAUGCCUGUUCGAGCGUCAUUUCAACCCUCAAGCUCUGCUUGGUGUUGGGGCCCUACAGCCGAUGUAGGCCCUCAAAGGUAGUGGCGGACCCUCCCGGAGCCUCCUUUGCGUAGUAACUUUACGUCUCGCACUGGGAUCCGGAGGGACUCUUGCCGUAAAACCCCCCAAUUUUCCAAAGGUUGACCUCGGAUCAGGUAGGAAUACCCGCUGAACUUAAGCAUA
rnacentral:rRNA from 1 species